CACAUUUCACAAGAAACGGGUAGAUGUUCCAAAAAUUUCAUAUCUUGAAUCCCCUAUUUGCUUUUAUUGUGGAACGCAUGGUCACACUUUGAAAUAAUGUAAUGUUAGAAUGCAUGAUGUUCCAAAUGGAAAUUGUAUGUGGGUUACUACGAAACAAAAUCCUCAAGCUACUAACAUCAAGGGACUCAAGAUUAGUUGGGUACCCAAGAAAUCCAAGUAAUUGUGUUUUGUAGGUGUACCAAAGGACAUAUGACUUCAACUUUCAUAUGGGAAGCAAGUGUCUUAAGAACAUAGAAGGUGAGAAGAUCAAACUUCUUUGACUUGCCACUAAAGGAAAGGAGACUAUGACACUUAUGAGCAACUUAUCAACACAAAUACUUGAAGUUAGGAAGUAUUGUGCAGCAAAGGUAAAACAAGGUAUCUUUUAUUAACUCCAAUUAUUACAUACAUUACGUGUCAUAAAUAUAUUCUAUAAUGAAAUCGAAGCAAUGCCAUAAAAUCAAGAAUCAUGAAAUCCCCCAUAAAUCACUUUUAUGCGUAAUGCUUUGUGUUUUACAUUUACACUCUCUUAAAUGCAAACAUGAUAUUGUUGAACAAGUAUAAGAAUCUUUCAACCAUGUUUUGAUUAAUAAAUAAAUGUAGAAAUACCAUCUAAGAUUUUCUAAUCAUGUUGAAGCGCAACUAGUUAAAUGUCAUAUUAAUGCAAUAACCAAAACUAUUCUUUGGAAAACCUAUGCAAAUUUAAUGUUGGAUUAAGCCAUCUCCAAAAGAGGAGAGGAAAUGUAUGCUUACUUUUUUUAUAGGUACUCAUGAGGAUAAUCAUUAAGGAAUUGACAUGCCAUGCAAGAAAAAGGCAAGAACCAAGAAUUGUAGAAAAGCCAAUGAAGACAUCAAAUAUGGCAAACUUCUAACACCUUGAUAAAGAUGAGGAGAUGAGGUAAAGCAUGUGAGGUAACCAAAUAUUGUGACAUGUUUUGUACUACAAUGUUUAAUCACAUGUUCUGUCUGAUAUAUUAUGCCUAAGUGUUUGAACGCAUGCUAGACAUCUAUAUAAUCCUAAAUAAGAUGAGCAUUUACAAGAUAAGCAUUUAUAAAUAUGGUGAAUGGAUGUAUCAAGAGGAUUUAUAAAUAUGACGGGGCGUAAAUAUACCUCAAGGACCUUCAUUUGAUUUGGCUCAUCUGGGUGCCAUGGAACAAUGCUUAAAUGAGCGAAUUGACUCAAUGAUGCAAUCAAGUGAAGACAUGCUCAUGGUGGAGUUUCAGAGACAAGAUGAAGAGAAUCAUAAUCGUUUUGAGCAGCUUCACUUCUUACUCAGGACCUUCAGUGUAUUUCCACAACCGCCUCCUAGCUAGCUUAAGAUGUGUAGUGUGUUCUAGUUAAGUGUUGUUUUAGGAGUUUGUGGUCUUUCUAAUGUUUUGGUUAUUGCGUUGUAUUUUCAAAACUUGUUGGUUUGUUUUUGUACUUUAACUUGAAUUGUAAUCACAUGACAUCUUAUGACCAUAUUGGUUUUGUGCUUUCAAAUGGAA
rnacentral:lncRNA from 1 species